UAAAGGAUCAGAGCAGUCGUGCCAA
rnacentral:piRNA from 1 species